AUUGAACGCUGGCGGCAGGCCUAACACAUGCAAGUCGAACGGUAACAGGAAGCAGCUUGCUGCUUUGCUGACGAGUGGCGGACGGGUGAGUAAUGUCUGGGAAACUGCCCGAUGGAGGGGGAUAACUACUGGAAACGGUAGCUAAUACCGCAUAACGUCGCAAGACCAAAGAGGGGGACCUUAGGGCCUCUUGCCAUCGGAUGUGCCCAGAUGGGAUUAGCUAGUAGGUGGGGUAACGGCUCACCUAGGCGACGAUCUCUAGCUGGUCUGAGAGGAUGACCAGCCACACUGGAACUGAGACACGGUCCAGACUCCUACGGGAGGCAGCAGUGGGGAAUAUUGCACAACGGGCGCAAGCCUGAUGCAGCCAUGCCGCGUGUAUGAAGAAGGCCUUCGGGUUGUAAAGUACUUUCAGCGGGGAGGAAGGGAGUAAAGUUAAUACCUUUGCUCAUUGACGUUACCCGCAGAAGAAGCACCGGCUAACUCCGUG
rnacentral:rRNA from 1 species